GAAUGCUGACAUAAGUAACGAUAAAGCGGGUGAAAAGCCCGCUCGCCGGAAGACCAAGGGUUCCUGUCCAACGUUAAUCGGGGCAGGGUGAGUCGACCCCUAAGGCGAGGCCGAAAGGCGUAGUCGAUGGGAAACAGGUUAAUAUUCCUGUACUUGGUGUUACUGCGAAGGGGGGACGGAGAAGGCUAUGUUAGCCGGGCGACGGUUGUCCCGGUUUAAGCAUGUAGGCUGGUUGUCCAGGCAAAUCCGGAUAAUCAA
rnacentral:rRNA from 2 species